ensembl:lncRNA
GCCUGGGUGAGAUGUGAAAUUCCAGUUACAGCUGUAGAAACCUGUAAGGAAAAAAGCUGAUACUUUACUAAAUUUUAUCUAAGAAACACCUCAGUAAAAGCACUGUCAGUAGUUCAGCUUAAGACUGGAAGAUACACGUUUGAGCCUUGAUAAUGACAACAAUUAACGCACUGAUGGUGCUGACAUAAAAUAACAGUAGAUACCUUCAACUGCUGAUUGACCUCUGGCUGCUAUGGAAAAGCCCAUACAUCUUUGUUGCCUUUUUUGCAUCUCACUGACAAUCCCAUAAUUAUGUUACUUCUCAGACCCUGCUGCACAUCACUCGUGGUCCUUCUGACCCAUUUUCGUUUCAGAACUGCUCUAGACAGCCUUCCCAAUCUAAAGACACUUGCCAAUGUCUGCACUUUGCCUCAGGUGUCCUUCCUAUUUCUAAAAAUUAAUUAACAUAAGCUUAAUUAUUUUUUGAUGUAUUGUUUCUCACGCCUCGAUUAAUAUCUGAAUUAUUGAAGUGGAUCACUGCUAUUAGUUUGUUCUCAGAAAGUUGGAAAAUUCAGAAACUCCACUAUCAUCUUAAUUACUUACAAGUGAAGGGUAAAUCGUCUUCUAAUCCGUGGCAGAACUCCAGAAGAUUUAAUGGAGACAGGAUCUCACUGCAAGACAGAGUUCCCCGUGCAUUCCCCCAGGCUCAGCAGGACCACUCGAGCACUGAAUGCUCAGUCUGCGUGCCUUGCAUAAGCAUCAGAGUGCAAUUCCAGGACAAGAAUUCCACUACAUCUUUUCCUUCACAACAAUAGGGCCAGAUUUUCAGCAACACGAUACAUAAACAGAGAGGUAAUUGAAUAUUCUAUCUGCCUCCAAAAUCAAACCCAGCAAAACAAACAACCUUCCUGCUUUUUGUCUCCCAGGGGAAAAAAAUAUAUGACAACGCUUCUCUUUCCUAGCCUGGAUUCCUAUAGGAAUUCAAACUUUUUUUGAGAUCAUUCUCUCUUUGUAGAUUUUAAUGAACAGUGUGUGUGUGUGCAUGCGUGCACACAUACAUGCAUGUGCAUACCUGCAUGUUAUGAAAGAGGAAGGGGGAGCGAGAACAAACAGCCAGUUUUAACCACAUCUGACGGAGCAAUAAAAGGCUCUAAAAAAUUACAUUCUUAUACAUUUUGUGAAAACAGACUGCUAAGCAAGGGAGAUGAGACCCGCUGCAGCUUGAGUUAAACCCUUAUUAAACACCGGGAAAGCUGCAAAGAUGAAAGAUAUAAUGAAUACCCACCCACAGAAAAACUGCAAUCAGAGCCUCCAGCCUGCUAGACAUGGGAGAAUCCAAGUAAGAGAUCACCCAAGGGAAGCCAAGCCCCACGAGCUCUGCAGAUCACAGGAGUGCCCGGGUUGGGUUUAAGUUGUGUUUCUAAUCCAUUGCUGCCCAGCUCUGAAGGUGGCACACUUACUUUUGCAAUGACUUUGAGGAAAGUCUAUUGACCUACCAAUGUUAAGUAGAACACAGAGGUGUGCUUUGGCAUUCAGCGACGAGUCAGGUGGCAGCUCUGGUAUCAACUGUCUGACAUCUCUUCUCUCUUGGAUGCCAAAGGAAAACUGAAAGAAAGAGAGGAGGUCUGAACAGUACCGUUCCAACAAACACACUGCAUUCAAAAUGAUGCUUACUACCUGUGGUGUUUGUGCCUUGGUUGCCUUUCCUCACCCACAGCUAGAGUGUGUUUGACAAAGCUUGUUUACCUCACUGAGAGUGGCACGUUUGUCACCUAUCAGUCACACAACCGGGGACAAACUACCUUACUGCAGCACUCCCAAUCUCUCCCGGAUGACUGCCUUCCUUUUUACGUUCUGGUCUCAGUACCUCAUCUUUCAUCUCUAACUCUUUUUUGCACCACACACUUCAGUUCCUCCUCUGCUAAGCUCAUUCGCAUCUCUAAAAAUAUCAUCCAGGAACUUUUUACUCUUCGUAAUAUUGGGCAGCAAAGCAACUUGGCUCUCAUGAUCAGCAAUCUUGCUCACAAGAGCUCAGGAAAUAACGCACAUAGGCUCCCCGUGCCUGUAGCUAUACCUAGCAGUGCUGCAAUUCAUGGUCCUUCACACCCUGCACAAAGGAAGGAGAGAUAAUGAAUGAAUCCAGCAGCCAAAUCCUACUAUUUCCUUCUUCCCGAAAAGGUUAACUUCAGGAAAAACAGAAGUGCCCGUUCUCAUCACAGAGUGACAGGGAUUUGUGUGGCAUCAUUAUUGCCAUUAGUGCUGCUACACCUAUCUGAGGUUAGCCUGAGAUAGCUUAAAUGAACUUCUUUAUUUUUCAUCUUUUGUUACCAGGAGAAUAAUGAUGAGCUGGCACAGCACUAAGAAUCUCCAAGGCUUGGAGCAAUAAAAUGAAGUUACAGUCUUCUAAAGUGGUUACAUUUUGCAUGCUUAUGGGAAAAUAAAUAUUUAUUCUCUUCGGUACAUUGUAGCUGCCAGUCCCUGAUUUUCCUCCAAUAAGAUGACUUAGACGAGCAGCCGCUUGUCACUUUUCUACUGUCAUUCAUUACUUAAAGAAAUACAGAGGAAGUUGGAACUGCACAUUCUCCGAAGCAGUAAAUAUUUAAAAAACUGACUUUCAUUUUUUUGUUUUUUAUGUGACACUGAAGUCUGCCAUUCUAUUCCCAGAGGGAUGAUAAUUCCUAUAGUAAGACAAUUCAACAUAAACACAUGCAAUAAAACAGGUCAGUUAAAUCUGCAAGUUAAUUCUAUGCGAGAGCAAGAAGGCUGCUCAGUUCCCUAAGGGGUUAAGGCCCCAGGGCAGUACAGCUCUGUGGACUAAAGGUUGCACAUGUGCUUGAUUUCUGAGCUGGGACCCACAUCUCUAACUCACUACAGUGCUGGUAGCUGGGAGGCGGUGUUGACAAGAAACAAAACAUGUCUUUGCCUCCCAGCUACAAGCAUUUUGCACAGUUUUCAGGCAGUGAGUGGGCAAGCUGGGAAGCAGUGACCAGAGGGGAAAAAAAUUAAGCCAUUUCCAAAGGAUCUGUGAAACUUUGUAAUCUGCCUCUGGGCUUUCCAUGGAGAAAAGCAACUUGUUUGACACUGUCAGUACAAAGAUGCCCAGUUUGGUUUCUGUAAAAGCUAUGUUAAAUAUCCCAUUUGCCAAAUAGAAAUCAGUAAGAAUUAAAAUGCAUUAAUGAUUUCUCUCCAGGCCAUAAGGCCAGCCACUCAGGCAUCAGAACCAAGUGCAAAAGUGAGCUAAUAAUCAUCUCAUCUGCCAUUUUCUACAUUUGAUACAGAGAUCAUCACCACCUUGACUAUAAGCACAGAAGAGACAGAGAACGCUUCCUGCUGUACCCUGAGUGGAAAGGCCUCUGCCUGCCCGCUAUCUGGUGUUUAACUCAACUCCUACUUUGCAGUUUCUCUCAAACCAUUUCAGAUCUAUCAACAGUCUGAGAACUCCCUACUGGUGACUAUGGGAAAUAUUUUCACUGCUGCAGCUAAUCUACAAAGACAAAUAUUUUCAUGUUUAUAGUGCGAGAAACAAAAUAUCCUUAUCUCCCAGUAUAAAACAUUUGCUCUUUGUUGGAUACCAACACAGUUCAGCUCCAGAACUGUUUGAAAUCCUGGCUCGUGGCUUAUCUAAUUCAGUGAUACUCAUGAGAAUGGGAGCUAGUGCUCUGCGAGUACUUCAGACAGCCAGGGAAGUUCUCCUCCUAAAGUCUCUGUUAAUCAUGGGAGAAAUUACCCCCAUUUCAUAGACAUGACUGUGAUGGGCAGGAGUACCCAGAGCUUCGCCAGAGGUCGCACACCAAUGCUCCCGGCAGAAAUAGGUCACCACCUUCCCACCUCAAAGAAGAAAACGAGAACGUUUUUCUUUGUUCUCUGGUUUGAAUAACUGCCUCGUUAUUUUUCCACUGCUCCAUUUUGUUCUUUGGAAAACCUUUUUCCAUUCUGUUGUACAUUUCCCACAUACGCAUGCUUUCACAAUUAGCCAGUUGGUGCCACCAACCCAAGUUUUGCCCCUGCCACCUACCUGUAGCUCUGCAGAAGCCAAACAAUGGAAGGCAUCGCUGUGGGUCCUCCAGCGGCUCCAAAUCCCACAGCAGCUCAGCGUGCCCUUGGGUGCUUCAGCAUCUGAAGGGGAGCUGCAAAGCCCACCGCAGAGCCACCGCCGGGCCCAGGCACCCCACGUUGGGCCAUUCCACACAUUCGUGCAUAGGAAGUGUAUCAUAACAGCCCUGGACAUUACAUCCAACCAGGUGCUUUUCAGUCUGAAUGUUAACAGAAGCCACUCUCAACAUUUUGUCAAUUAGUGCUAUUGCCAAGAUACUGGCUGGAGAUUAGAGCCUGUUCAGAACUCGUUUUUCCACUUUUCAUUUCCUCUUUUUUUUUUUUUUUAAUUUUAAUUUAAGGCUGUAUUAUGCUUCAAAACAAAACCAAACCAAUAUUUUCAAACCCACCUGUGCAGUAUUAGUAGCUGCUUCCUUGUGGGACAGUGCCCCUCUCAAUCGUCUCCGUACAGUUUUCAGUCCUUGCCACCCACUCAUCCCAGCUGUUAAUUCUCUCUGACAUUUCCAUGCAUCUUUCUUCCAGAGAAGAAAGAGGCCAUUGAAGAAUAUCGUGCAGAGUGUCAAACAGUUUCCGAAUUGAUCCCUCAAGGCUCGGGCCAGGGAGAGGGCAGCCCGGCUCAGAGGCAGAGCCCGGCAGAGUUUGCUGGGGAACCUUUGAGCCAGCAGCACUCCACUUGAAAAGCCUUUUUCCUUCAGACACAUUCGUGCCUUGAAUCAUUACCAAAUAUAGAAUGCAUUCUUUAAAAGAUACUGCUUUCCCCACAUGAGGUACCUAAAACUGUUAGAAAAAGCUAAGCUGAAAAAUACAAUGAUACCCGUUGCCAUAUAUGGCACACAAUUAAAUCAAAAUUGCCCCACAGCCUGACUUGGUGGCCAUGCAAACCUUCACUUUACUCCUCCAGAUCGGUUUGUGAGAUACAACCAGCUCCUCACACACGCACAUGGCUGCCAGCGUGGCUCCUUGCACACCCACUUGCUGAAAGGAAGGGGCAUUUGACAGCAUGAUUAUUAAGAACAGGAAGAAAUUAACAGUGACCAAAACAAAGAUGUAAAAUUCCCUUAUCCAGAUGCACUGUGAGUCUUCCAAUUGCUGCUCCUGCUGUUGUCACAUCUGGCUGUUACAGAAAUUACUUGUUACACUAUCUUGCCACUCUAGUGUAGAAAAUAGCAUUACCAGCUCUUCUCCUGUCUAUCUUCCCACCAGGGCUUCAGACACAGCCAUGAAAGGUCUCCAGGCCCCUCACCAUUCUGCUUUGUCCCAUGCUGGCUCCCUGCAGGACCCACGGCAAGGCUGUGCCGCAGGCAUCACGCACUCUCCCUCACCCAGGAGGCACAGCAGGAGAACAGUUGUUAAGUUGAUGCAACAUUUUCCAUCAGGAAAGGGCUAAGGAUGACUAGGAGAGUAAUAAAGCCCUCCCUUCCACUACUUUUUAUACCACUACCACUCUCCAGUGUGUGAACUUCCCUUUCCAUUCCAGGAAGAGCGCCACCAUUUUGUAACAGGUGUGGAUGUCAGAGUCACUUCAGUUUACUUCACACAAAUAUAGUUUCUGAUCCAUUGCUUGCAUUAAACUGUUGACAUGUACAGUGGCUUUAGUCCCUGAACUGUCAAAGCAGGCGGGAUAACUUUCCCUAUUCUGCCUCCCUCAUUUCUUUUCCACUUUUACCCAGACUUUGGCCUCCUUCCCUCACAGCUGAUCUCAUCUUUGUGUUUUCCUUGCACAUGUUUUGAGUUACUAUCUCCACCCCUCACCCAUGCCCUUAGAACACAUUUACUUGCUUUUGCUCCAACAGAAGAUCUAUUACACAGCCCAAACACCCUGUGUUCCGCGUGUCUGAAGCCUGGCACCGUGAAUGCUGGCCCUGCUUAGAUUCCUUCCUUUACAGGUGUUUUCUCAGUGCCCUUUCCUAUACUCCAGGUAGGGAUAUAUCUUCCCCUUCUCCCACCUCUUCACAUAGUCUCCUCCAGGAGAGAAGCUGUGUGCGCUUCAGGCUGAUGCAGGCUUUGCUGAGGAAGCUCAAACACUUCAGAGCUGGCAAUCCCAGCUGGGCUCCUCUGCUCCUACCCACCAGAGUGACCACGAACCACGGUAAGGUACAACAUGCACCAGGAAACCACAGCCCUGGAGCAAACACCCCCUGCUGUUGCAAGACAACACGUGAAAAGCAAAAACACAAAUAACACAGCACUAAGGCAUUCUGUACUUUGAUGCAGGUUUGCUUAGACAUCCAGAUACCCCAGCUCAUCUGAACAGCUCUCUGACUUGCAGAGAGCAAUUGUCUUGGUGUUUUUCUCUCACAUGUAAAGACAAACGCCAGAUGAGCUGCUACUCAGGCUGAAACUGAAGGCUGUGCCAGCAAAAGGACAAUUCUGCUGUGCAGUGUCUGAUGGCAGUGUGCGUUGAGCCCUAAGAACAUGGGCAUGCCACAACACAAAAACCAAUCUUCGCAACAAGAGGAUUUACAGGAAAAAAAAUGGUCUUACUGCGAAUUUCCCAAGCUGUAAAUACUGGAAAUGCAUUGGGAUCCUGCUUGUUCACAUACACCACUUGAGCAGAAAAUAUCAGAUCUAAACCAAAGUGGUUCACACCAUGGGAGAGAUGCUCCACAGCUCCUGCUGGCCACCCAGCAGCAGGCAUCUCUCAGCUUGCUCUGAGCCUGGUGCUUGUCUCACUAACUACAAUGGGGGGGGAGGGAAAGCGGGGGGUGUGGCGGCAAAGAAAACCAGUUUCUGACUGAAGUCAGCAAGAAUUUAACGCUAAACACAGAGCUAACAGUUGGCCAGAAGGUAAAAUUUACUUCACUGCUACACUCUGACCACGUUUGGGAUUCUGGAAGAAGCCUAGGUAGGACUUGAUCUUUUGACACAAGCAACUCCAAAGUGCACUAGCUCUUCUGAUGCUGCUUUCUUACCCACUACGCUGGAUUGGCCACGAGGGACUGCAGAAGAGACCUCCCAGUUCUGUCACAGCACUGGAGAGCAGGCAAUUGCUGGGCUACCAGAGUGACAUGCAAUGAGCCACGCAGGGAAGGGCAGCCCAGAGGCUCAUGUUUUGUCUCAUAUCGUUUUGUAUCCCACCCCAAAAUUCUUGCUUCACUUCUGUCAACAUCUUCUUCCUAUUCUCUUCAUCCCUAGCUACGCGUGAUAUUUAUAGAAGUUGUACUUCUGCUUAUUUUAGCUUUGUAUAUUCAGUUUUCUUGUUCUCGAUAUUUCUACCAGAAACUACAUGUUUUUUCUCUCCUUUCAACACGCACUUUUGGAACAAUAAAGCAACCACUUGUCCCCUUCGCAAAGGAAAAGAAGGAUAUAGAGGAGAAAUGGGGAAAAGCAAUGGGGAGGGAAGCUGGGUUCCGCUACUGCGCUGAAGUUACCUUUGUUCCCAGUCCUUCUGUUUCUGAAGUCCAGCGAGUCCUGGUGGCUCAGCACCGCACCCAGCUCAGAUGGCAGUUCCAGCUGGCGCUCUUCCACAGUGCUGUUGCGCUGCGAACUGCAGGAAAAGCUCCCAUGAGUCCCCCAUGCCUUGCCCUGCCGAUGUGGAAGCAGCCUGCAGUCUUUGGAUGGAGGCCUCCACGUGCACCUGAAAAACCCCAUGGAGAUGGGCCUCGUGAGCUCCUGCAUGCACCUGCCUUGGUAUGAUUAUGGACAGACCAAUUCCUGCCUUCUACCUCUUCAUACAAAAUCAUCAUCGAAAUUCCUUUUAAUAACAGUAAUUUUAAAGUGUCUGGUGUCUUUCAAAUUCUGAGUGAUAUGAAUGCAGAGAGUCGCAGCAAGGUUUUUGUCUUUUCAAAAAGCUUCAUUUCCUGAAGCGCAUUAUAUCAAAACCCCACCCUACAAAUUCCCUUCUGUGCAACACAGCGCUCCUUGUUAAAAUCCUGCACGAGCCUGUUUCCUCCUCUCUCCCUUAGGUACCAUUCUCUCUAUGUACGCUACAAUAACAACUGUGCCUUUACUGAGGUUGAACACAAUAACCAGGUCUUUGUGAAGGAUAAUUAACAGCCAGCAGUGAAUCUUAGCAUUUAUUCAACUGAGUAUGAAUGAGUUAUGAAAAUUCUUUUCUGUAGGGGAAGUAAUGGGAUAUCGUUACCUUCGCAUAUGCUUUGCCUCUUGCAUUAUAGCAUAUUUAUGAUUUUCGUACUUUCAAGUCAGAAUAGGUACACAGAUGCCAUAUAUUUGCAUUCAGACAGUUGUAGCUCAGUGUUUUCCUCCCCUUCUGUCACUGACAAAAUCCCCACUCCAUCUGCAUUUAAUCCAAAUUCCUCGUGUCCACUCUGAGCUGGAUGAGUGGACCUGAGCCUCUCCAGCUGUUCCAAGAGAUGCAAAGGUUUGUUUCUGGGACUGAAUUCCCACAGCUGACAUAACCUACCUAGAUUAGCACCCUCACAUAGGGUGCUUCAGGGGCAAUACAGUGGUAUGACACAGCUCAGAAAUACAUGGAGCCCCUACAAUUGUGCGUGAACUUUCCAUUCUGCAAUAGAAAGCUGCCAAGUUGUUUUCUACUAUUGGAGAUAUGUCCUUAGAAACAUUCAAAGUCAGGAUGGAUCAUGCUCUGAGCAACCUGAUCAACAGCAGGUGUCCCUGUUCAGAGCCAGAGAGUAGGAUUAGAUGGUCCUUAAGGGUCCCUUCCAACUCGAACGAUCCUAUCCAAUAGCUACGCAUGUCAAAAGCAGCAACUCCCAGUUAUAGCAUGUAUAUAACAUAUAUAUACACAUAUAUAUGUUUCUUCAAAGUGUAUUCAUAUACACAAAACACAGAAAUAUCUCUCGAGUCUAAGACUGAAAACCAGUUGUAGCAUAACUUAAGUGAGAAAGUAGAAGCACUAACAACCACUGAUAGAAAAGCAAAGGGAAGCAAAAAUGUCCAGAUGCAUUAACUGAAAAUAAUAAAUAAAACCAAAGUUUUCCUGGGACUGUUCCCAAUGUCUGUGGUUUCAGUUCUCACCCAAGCCUUCAGGACAGCUCUUCUCUCUGCUAAGAGACAAGAGGUGUGCUCCUGCAUCAGCAGAGCGUAUCGAGGCACAAGAGGUGCGAGGGCAGGGCUGUGAUGGGGCAGGUUUUGUCACUGCUGUUACUUGGCUUUGCAUUGCCAGGGCACGCACAAAGCAUGGGAACACAGCCAGAAACCAAGCCUUUUGAUCCGACCUUAGCCACGUGCGAGGCUGGCAGUGCCAUGGUGCUACUACUGGCAUGUCAGGAAGCACUCCAGGCGGUCCUGUCUCUAAGCAGGCCCAGCACCAUUUUCAGCCGGGCUUUGCCGAAGCUGGAAGCGGGGCUGUGUGUGGGCACUGCGACUAGAACUCCUGACAGUGAACCUCAUGCCAUUUCUGUAAUUGUUACUGAAUAGGGCUUUUUUCUUCUCCGCUGCAACCUAAAAACCCCCUUUCAGUUCAAUGACUCGUUCUGACCGAAGGGCCGCUUCCAAAGCGGCGAUCAGACCAGAGGUUGGGGAAUAAAAACAUUGCAGCCCCCGGCUGCAGCGUAGCAGUC